UACGUAGGGUGCAAGCGUUGUCCGGAUUUAUUGGGCGUAAAGAGCGUGUAGGCGGCUUUACAGGUCCGUUGUGAAAACUCGAGGCUCAACCUCGAGACGCCGGUGGAAACCGUAAAGCUAGAGUCCGGAAGAGGAGAGUGGAAUUCCUGGUGUAGCGGUGAAAUGCGCAGAUAUCAGGAAGAACACCCGUGGCGAAGGCGGCUCUCUGGGACGGUACUGACGCUGAGACGCGAAAGCGUGGGGAGCAAACAGG
rnacentral:rRNA from 1 species